AACUUAUCAAGAGAAGCAGAGGGAAUUGGCCCUAUGAAGCUUCAGCAACAGAAGGUUAUUUAGACUGACCUCACUGUGCUUCAUCCAACAAGUACAACUUGAAAGAUAGGUG
rnacentral:ncRNA from 2 species